GAUGAAUGCUGGCGGCGUGCCUAACACAUGCAAGUCGAGCGGCAGCGAGGGGUGCUUGCACCCUGUCGGCGAGCGGCGAACGGCUGAGUAACGCGUAGGAAUUUGCCCCAAAGUGAGGAAUAACUGCCCGAAAGGGUAGCUAAUGCCGCAUAUGGUCUUCGGAUUAAAGGAUUUAUCCGCUUUAGGAGAAGCCUGCGUUGGAUUAGGUUGUUGGUAGGGUAAUGGCCUACCAAGCCGACGAUCCAUAGCUGGUCUGAGAGGAUGAUCAGCCAGACUGGAACUGAGACACGGUCCAGACUCCUACGGGAGGCAGCAGUGAGGAAUCUUCCAAAAUGGGCGAAAGCCUGAUGGAGCAACGCCGCGUGAAGGAUGAAGGCCUUCGGGUUGUAAACUUCUUUUAUGAGUGAAGAAUAUGACGGUAACUCAUGAAUAAGCACCGGCUAACUACGUG
rnacentral:rRNA from 1 species